GUACUGAGACACGGACCAGACUCCUACGGGAGGCAGCAGUGAGGAAUAUUGGUCAAUGGGCGAGAGCCUGAACCAGCCAAGUCGCGUGAGGGAAGACGGUCCUAUGGAUUGUAAACCUCUUUUGCCGGGGAGCAAAAAGCGGUACGUGUACCGCAUCGAGAGUACCCGGAGAAAAAGCAUCGGCUAACUCCGUGCCAGCAGCCGCGGUAAUACGGAGGAUGCGAGCGUUAUCCGGAUUUAUUGGGUUUAAAGGGUGCGCAGGCGGCGAGUUAAGUCAGCGGUAAAAUUUCGGGGCUCAACCCCGACAAGCCGUUGAAACUGGCUUGCUAGAGUGGGCGAGAAGUAUGCGGAAUGCGUGGUGUAGCGGUGAAAUGCAUAGAUAUCACGCAGAACUCCGAUUGCGAAGGCAGCAUACCGGCGCCCAACUGACGCUCAGGCACGAAAGCGUGGGUAUCGAACAGGAUUAGAUACCCUGGUAGUCCACGCAGUAAACGAUGAGCACUAAUUGUCCGGUCCGAGUGAGGGCUGG
rnacentral:rRNA from 1 species